ACCUACAAUGGAACCUUUCAUCGAGCGACACCCGGAUUAUCUAGCGAAUUAUAUCAAAGAAUCAAGCCAAAAAUUAGUAAUCCAUGAAACUCGUAUUUCUCUUGAAUGCCCUUUUGAAGAAAACUUUGGCGCCAAUAUUUUUAUUGAAAGGGGUCAUUCAACGGAUGAACGAGUGCCAUGUGAUUCCUAAUUUUUGACUCGAUUUUUUGAUAUAACUCGGCAGAUAAUCCCGGUGGUAGAGUUGCCAGCAAGCCGGCUUAUUGAGUUGUGAGUCAAAACGAGUCGACUCAUUGAGUUGUAAGUCGAAACAAGCCGAGUCAGAAGCAAGCCGGCUUGGCUUGACUCGACUCAUUAAGAAUCUGAGUGAGUCGAGUGAGUCGAGGCAGCUUAUUGAAGAAGCAUAUGUACAUACGUAUGCACGCUGGUCCGGAAUAUUGAAUUUCUUGGCCAAAACCUAUUCUCUCCGAUCCGAAAACAAACUACCCUCUUCAGUACCUUUGACAUAGAUGUUCAAUUGUGGAAAGUUUCAUUUGAAUUGUUCCAGUGGUUAUGGCGUGGCAUAUGCCUAAACUUGACUUAUAACAUUGGGCUAAAUGGGGAAAAUUUCAAGUUGAAAAUCCUGUCUAGUCCUGUGGUAUUUCGAGAAACUGUUAGUAUGUUAUUAAACCCUUAUAUCUCAUCUACAAAAACGGCUGCCCCUUUUUGCCCCUUUUGCAGAUUGGCAGAGAAAUUUGAGUUUAUGCAAAGGCAAAUUGUAAAAGCAAAAUAUCUGGAGUGCUCCAAUCAUUGCUAUGUAUGAAAUUUUUGAGUGUUCCAAAUAAUACAAUCGCUUCAAAAUAUCUUCCCCAUUCCUUGGGUAAGGGAACAUGGUAAAACAAAUCCCUUCAAAAAAUUUAUUACCAAGGGGGGAUUUUAUGACGUUGUGGCCCCCUGCGGAGGGACGACGAAUUUUUUAAUUUUGGCCGUUUUCUUUGGUAAUGAGAUCAGAGGGCAGAAAUACUUAAUAAAACUAUAGAAUAUUGUCAUUCGAUAAAAAUUCAUCCUCAAAUACAUCGAAACAAAAUUUUGAAAUUUACAUUUUAACCCCACCCCCUUGCGGUGGGUGUGCCGAUAAUGUCCCAAUGUUGUGGUUGAAUUGUAUAGAGCUUGAUGAGACCUUUUGAAUGAUACCCUACUUGAUGGGGUAACGCGAGAAAAUUAUUAUUUGCCUUUGACCACACCCCUAAAGGGGUGUGGCUAUCAAUGAAUCUUCCAUAACUUAUACCCUUCGAACUUCAUAUCUCGAUUCCCGAAGGCAGUAUUCGAAAAAAAUAAUUUGUUCCAAAGUUAUAGGUUUUGGCAAGCAAAUAAGCCAAUCCAGACCAGUGUGGUAUGCAUGCAUUUUGUGUUUACCCAGUGGGCUGAUGCUAUCUGUAAGUAGCUCGUAACGGGAAAACCACUCGAGAUAAUCAAAAUCUGAUAAGUGCAUUGUAUUCUACGCGCGAUUUUACAUAGAUACCACAAGUUCGUUUUUAACUGAUUAGAAAGCAUAUCAGCAGGGAAAAUCUUGAAAUGACGCGGGUGGUGAUAAUUUUUCACUUAAAAAAUGGCGAGAGAAAUAGUGAAUAUGAAAAGCUUGAAAGGAAUCGAACGUGCGCUUUAAUUUAGUUCAACGAACCAUAAGACAUUCAUCUGGACCUGGCCUACUAAGAACAGUUGAAGUAGGAAUUUUUUGAAAACCUACAAGGACGACACCCAUGCUGAAGGGGCUGAAAGCCGAAAUCAGGAGGAAUCUACGAAAUUACAACGGAAAAUAGCCUCACAGCUGACAUUGUCGAUGCACCGUAUUCAACGAGUGCUCAAACUGAACCCUGAACUUAAGGCUUUGGAACGUAGCACUUGCCGCAUGCUUACCAUCCCCCAAAAGAAAACCAGGUUAAAGAAAUGCAGGGCUCUCUUUAAGCGGUGAGCGCGGAUUAGGGGUAAUUUCUCCACAUUUUGUUGAAACGGGGAGGAAGGUCAAAGAAAAAAAUUCUUGAAAUACGUUUUUGAGUCCGAGGUACAUCUACUAAAUGAGAUCCAAGUCAAUGGAGUCGACUGGACCUCGCUAUGGGACACAGUACCACUACAUAUUCCAAAAAAUGAGCCAAGGGACGCUAAAAACCAAAUUCCGAACUUUAUUUCCGCUGGGAAAUUGUCGUCCUCUUUGUUGGAUUUGAAUCUCUGGACUAUGAAAAACGGUCAAAGUUAGGGGAAAAUGUGUGUUCUAAGCCUCGUAGAAGUGUCGCGGCUUUAGAAAAUUAUUUGACCCCGGAAUGAUACAAUUUGUCCAUGGAUUCAGCGUGUGCUCCAGUCGAGGACUGGAGGCGACAUCUUCAGCGCUGCAUUAAUGGAGGGGGAGUAAAUUCUGAAAACUAAAAAUUGAUUUCUACUCAGAAAUUAAGUGGCUUUCUAUUAAAAUUAACUAUAAAUGUGAAGCACAAAAACCCUUGAUGCUACAGCGCUUCAUUUCACUUACAGUUACUGAGGGCCACCCUGUACAAGUUGGAGCGAGCUGAAUUUGUUUGUGUAUGUGUGUAAGUACGGGGAGGCGGAGCCAGCCGGCUUAUUGAGUGAGUGAGUCAAGCCGAG